UCUAAGGGAGGGUCAGGGAGGACAUGCCAUACAGAGUGCAUGUGAAAAGUCUUCCAGGCUGAAAAAUACCUGGUACUUUUAAGAACCCAGUACGUCAAGGUGGCUGAAGUGAAGUGAGUGAAUGAAGAGUGACUAGAGUGAAUUUGAAAAGGUAAGUCAGAUCUACGUCCUUGUCCACUGCUGAAGAGAUUUAAGGGUUCAACCCAGUGGGAAAUCACUCUAGUGGGUUUGUACUCUCUAGCUCCUGUGAAUGGAAUGAAUCAGAGGACAGAAAUAGGAGAAGCUAGAAGGAAAAUUGGCAUGCUAUGGACUACCCAGAACUGGGCCAGCACCAUCUUCAUGUGUCACCAAAAUACUCACCUCAUGUAUGAAAAACAUCCAGCCAUGCCCUAGUGCUCAGUUGGGUAAAUCACUCUCCCUAUGAUGUGAUCCCUUUGUGCUAUUUAUACUUCUUUCACUUCACAUAGUAUAUUGUAUGUAUUUCUGCUACUAAAUUAAAUAAAAUAAUGUAAAUGAGAUACUUAUCUCUGUGUUUGGCACACAAUAAUUGCAAAUUUUAGUUCCUUCUCUUUCUCCUGAGCUACAAAUAUUCAUUCUUCAUUUUCUCUCCCUUCAGGUAAGAGUUCUGUGGAUUCCCCUUCAGGGAAGAUUGCUUUACCUAGAAAUUACCAAUAAUGCCAUAAUCAAAAGAGUUUGCAGAGCGUGGUUUAUAGGGCAAAAGAGGAAGUUGGAAAAUUUGGGUAAACAAAAGUUGGGUGGCAGCCAUGGAUACUGAAAACCAGACAAAGAAUCAGGGCUUUAAUGAGUCAGAUGGGAGCUUGUAGGAGUGUGAAAAUAGAAUGAAGGAAAAUAUUUUCCUUUGUAAGUACCUAGGGCAGAUUGACUGUACUAAUGAGAAAGCAGGUUAAGUGGUCAGAAUAGGGGUAAAAAGUUCCUGCAUCUUCCUCACUUAUAUAUCCCCAUGCCAUAGCUUAGGGCCAGGCACAUAGAAGAGCUUAGUGCUGUGGACAAUUAUAAGUAACUACACUUCAGAGAGAGAGAGAGAGAGAGAGAGAGAGAGAGAGAGAGAAGCUGUUAAAUUGAGGUGCAUUCAAAAUCUUUUUGAAGAGAGAACUGCUGAGCCCAAAAAAAAUGGCUCUACUUAACCUUGUGUUGUAUGGGGAAUUAAACUGUGGCCUGGUCUUUUAGAUAACUCUCAUGUAAACAACAUGAACACAAGCAGAGAAGAGUGGCCAUGGCUUCAUUGUUGGAAUGCAGUUAGGAAGGACAACCAAGGAAGGAGAAUGCAUAAUUAUGUUUUACUAACAAGAUCAUCCCAUAAUUGAUUCACAGUAAAGAAGUGUAAGAACAACAGAGGCCUCUUUCUCAAGAGUGCCAGUAAUAAAAUUCAGAUCUAGUGUGAUUUAAAUUUUUUGAGCAUUUUCCUCUAUUUCAGUCUCCCUUCUGUCCUUGCCAUGGCCUUAUACUUUAAAGUUUUAACUAUUGGCCUAAGCCUGGUGUUCACCUCCUAUUUUGGCAAAAGUCACAGUAUAGCCUUUUGAGCUCAAACUCAAUGGCUUGUUAAGUCAUUUAAUGAGGUUUUUUUUUUUUUUUCCAUUUCUUCCAAUUCCUGAUAGGGAUGGAAGUCCAUCCAGUACUUGUUUAUAGGAAUGCUCCACAAAAAAUCACUUGAAGUUUCAAUGCCUCUAAAGAGCACUAUUUAUAAAAGUAUUUGCAUCAUCAUCUCUUGUUACUGCCUUUAAUUUAAAGUCUAGUUUGUCUGAUAUAAGUAUAGCUACUCCAGCUUUCUUUUGACUUCCAGUAGCAUGAUAGAUACUUCUCCACCCCCUCACUUUCAAUCUGAAGGUGUCCUCAGGUCUAAAAUGAGACUUUUGUAGACAGCAAAUAGUUGGGUCUUGUUUUUAAUCCAUUCUGAUACCCUAUGUCUUUUGAUUGGAGCAUUUAGUCCAUUUACAUUCAGUGUUGUUAUUGAAAGAUAUGGGUUUAGAGUCAUUGUGUUAUCUGUAGGUUUCAUGCUUGUAGUGAUGUCUCUGGUACUUUGUGGUCCUUGCAACAUUUCACUCACUGAAUCCCCCUUAGGAAUGCUUAUAACAGCACUUUCAACAAUAGCCAAAUUAUGGAAAGAGCCUAAAUGUCCAUCAACUGAUAAAAGGAUAAAGAAGAUGUGGUUUAUAUAUACAAUGGAAUACUACUUGGCAAUGAGAAGGAACGAAAUCUGGCCAUUUGCAGCAACGUGAAUAGAACUGGAGGGUGUUAUGCUAAGUGAAAUAAGCCAGACAGAGAAAGACAAGUACCAUAUGUUUUCACUCAUAUGUGGAUCUAGAGAAACUUAACAGAAGGCCAUGAGGGAGGGGAAGGUAAAAAAAAAAAGUUACAGAGAGGGAGGGAGGCAAACCAUAAGAGACUCUUAAGGACUGAGAACAAACUAAGGGUAGAUGGGAAGUGGGGGAGAGGGGAAAGUGGGUGAUGGGCGGGGAGGAGAGCACUUGUUGGGAUAAGCACUGGGUAUUGUAUGGAAACCAAUAUGACAAUAAAUUAUAUUUAAAAAAAUAAUAAAAGUAUUUGCCCAACUCGUUAUAAACCUCUGAGGUUUAUCAUAGAAAAUUCCCGGAAGCCAAAUUCUAACAAUGGAGAAAGGUUGGAGAUGAAGAACCUGCCUGGAUCUGACUCACACUGUGGGGAGCUGAGGUUUAAUCUGAAUCCUAUUCCCAAAGGUGAUCCCCAAAGAAGGGCAAAUGUAGAAGGAGGAUUUGUAGACCUAGUGGACCCACAUUCAGGUAAGGACUGACAGGGUUCAGGUACCAGUGACUAUGGUAAAUGAUGGGACAGUUUAGGGAUUGCGAGUGUGAGACGGAGUAUUUUCAAGGAGGAAAAUUUUCUGCUUUGGGUCAGACAUGACCCUACUGUAGAGGGUGCUGGCAACUAUGGAAUUACCCUAUGACUUGGCAUUCUGUACCUCUUCAAUAUCAUCCUGUAACUAGUCUCUUCUUCAACAUCACCCUCCCCCACACCCCAUCACACACAUACACAUACACACACACACACCGAGAUUUGCACAAAAGAACCAAAAACUUAGCCCUGAGGCUGGCAGCAAGCUAAGACAAGAUGAUCAAAACAAAGUAGAAAAAAAAUGUCUUAGGAGUAAAGAACACAGUAUGCUUGGAUGAACUUGCCUUAUGUAGACUUUUCCAAAAUGUAUAUUUUCAGAUACAUGCUUUUGUUCUCAUUGUUCAAUAAUAAAGGGAAAAACAGGAACAGAUAAAAAUGGUUUACAGAGCGAAGACACAGUGCUGGAAAAUGUGGAUAGAUCAGUGCACAUCUUGCAUAACCCCCAAACCUCACUAGAAACCAUACUUGUUUUCCACCUGACAUCGUCUCCAAUUCCCUGCAUACUCACCAAACCAAGACAUAAAUUAGAUGCCAGAAUCCUCAAUAUAUACUAAUUUUCUGAUUAAAUUCAUGAGUAAUAAAUAAUUUGAAUAUACAUUUGGAUUGGCUAGUUUUUCACCAGGAUGGAUAAAAUUAUUUAUUUUCCUUUGGUGAAUUAAAGGCAUACAGUUACUUAACAGCCCUGCCUGCAUCUACUUCCAUAAACAUUCAUUGUAAGUCUUAUUUUAAAAGCUCUAGUGUUUUCCUUCCCCUAACCAAGCUAUAAAAUUUGGCUCUGUCUUGUUUAAUGCAUCCCCUCAUCUCAUUACCAUAUCCUGUUCACAUAAACAAUAUAAAUAAAAAUUUAAAAAGAAGGGAGCAUUAUAUUCAUGGCUUAAACUUGUAUAAGUUUUUAUUUAAACAUAGCCAAUUAAUAAGUAUUAAAUGAAUAUGCUAUGCUUUUCUUAUGUUUGCAAACAUAAUUCCUUUUAUAACUUUGUACAGUAGGUAAAUAGUUUAUGUGACAGCUUCUAUCUUAAGUUUUAAUUAUUCUGUGUGAAGAUAGGUAAUAUAAUAAUUAACCACCUUCAACUCCUGAACAGGAAAUAACAAGUGCUUUGUUCCAUUAGUAGUGAUACAUUCAGCAAUCAUUAACCACCUUAACUCUUUGUUCCAUAAGGAAUGAUAAAACUAGUAUUCUUUUAAGAACUAAGACAUCGACAUUUUGCCUAAGAUUAUGAGUGAAUUCAUUUUUAGGAUAAGCAUUUAAAAUGUGUGGAGUGUUUCAGAUGUUAAUCAAGCAAAGCUCUGGACCAAAGUGCAUAGUAUAUGAAACAUUGAUGAAAUCUUAGUUGAUGAACCAGCACACUUAAUGAUACAUUCCAUUCCUAUUUAGUUGAUUAACGAAAAUCUGAGAAAUUUGAAGUAAGCAAAAACAAAAUGAUAGGGACUAUAUUAUAUAAACUUUCAGAUGUCAUUUCCCUCUUAAUGGAUAUGGGAAAGAAUGAAAAAAAAUUAAAAAGAUACACUUACUCAAUCUUUUUAUCUUAAGCAAAACAGCAGGUGCCAGGGCCUAAAUUCCUUUAAAAAAUUAAACCAACAAAAUUUAGGUUGCCCUCUUCAUAUUGAAUAAAUUAUCUUAAACCAGUCUUCUUCAUUUCCCUCCACUCUUAUCCUUUAUUUUCAGUAUUAGAUUCUUCUUGUGACAAGUGAUAGAAUCAGGCUAAACUAACUCCAAGAAUAUCAAGAGCAUUUGUUGGUCAACUCUGGCAAUGGCACUUAACUAACAGACCACUGACACAUACAGACACUGGAACAGUUAAAAUCAGAUUGUUGACCACAAUAAGGAAUUUCUCUCUCUCUUCCUCUCCAUCUUCCUCUCCCUCUCCCCAAGUUUAUGAAUGCUGGCUUAAUUAUUCUUCUUCCUCACGGUGCAUGGCAGAAAUCAUAGAUACCAACAAUUCCCAUGUUUAAUAUCUUACAAGUACCAUUAUACAGACUGACUUGUUCUACCUAAGACUAAAAGUUCCUGAGGUGCCCCUAUGCCCACACCUUUGUAAAUUAACACUCCUCUGAUUGUCCUAUUUCAACUGUGCUAUAUGUUCCUAUUGUGAGCUUGACUGAUGUAUGCUUUGUAUGUUUAUGCAAUCAAGAAUCACCAUACAUUUAAGAAACAGCAAUGCCAUGAGAGAGGAAAGACAAACUCAAGAAAGAGAAUAACUUGACCACAGUUAAGAACAGUUAAUAGAGGAAGGAAAACAGGAUUUUUAAAUAUAUCCUUGGAGACAUGUAAAAAUAUUCAAUCUAAGUAGAGAGGACUUUUGCUUCCAGAUAUGAUGAAGUCAGUUAUACUAAUCACUCCUUUAUGUCAUAAAUAAUUAUAAAACUGGACAAAAUGUAUGAGGCCACUACUUUUAGGAAUUAGAUAACAAGGAGUGCAAUACUACAAACCUUGAGGGAAGGGAAAGUUCAUGAGAUGAGCCCCAUGAUCACCCCAGUCCGCAGCCUGAAGAUGUUUCCUGACCUUGGCACAGUGAGCUGGAAGACAGUGGCCAAUAGAAACCAGCCCUGUGAUAGCCUUAAUGUCAACUUUAGCAAACUAAGAUAUUCAAUAUACUAUUAUAAAUAUAGGAUGACAGGAAAAUGGUCUUCACGUGUAUGUAAUUUGAGUCCUAGAAGUAGACGACAUAGUGAAUGUAGCAAAGAAGUAUUUGAGGAAAUUAUGGCCAAUUUUUUCUCACUUUUGAUGAAAAACAUUACUUAUAAACCUGUAAAUUCAGCAAAUGGCAAAUAGGAUAAAUACAAAGAAAAUAUCUAAGUACAUCAGGGUUGAACUGCUAAAAAGCAAAUAUAAAAAGAAACUUGAAAAAUAGAGAAAAGAGACACAUUACAUGCAGGGAGAAAAUAAUCACACAAAUUAUAGUUAAUUACUCAUGAGAAAUAAUGAAAACCAGAAGAUAACAGAAGAAAAUUUUAAAGUGCUAAAAGAAAAAAAAAUUGUCAACCCAAAAUUCUGUAUCCAGUUAAAAUAUGUUUCAGAAACAAGAAUGAAAUAAAGACAUGUUCAAAUAACUGAUGGAAUUCAUUACCAGCAGGACUUCACUACAAGAAAUGUAAAAGGAUGUUGUUCUGAGUGAAGGAAAAUAAUGGCAGGUGGAAACUCAGGUCUACUGGAAGGAAGACAGACCUUUGGAAAUGGAGGAUAUAGGGGCAAAUACAAAAUACUACUUUUUUUGGUCAGUAAUUCCGUAAAAGACAACUGUCUCUAAGGCAAAAAUAACAACAUUUGUAAGGUGGUGUUUAAAACAUUUGUUGAAAAAAACAAUGUGAAAAUAAUACUACUAAAAAGGGAGGUGGGUAAAUGAAAUUGUACUGUUAUAAGUUUAUUACAUUUAUCAAGUAGAAAAUGGAAGUAGGAAGUGUCAGGCAUGAAGUAAAAAGGGGGAAGUCAUGCAAUAUUAACUCUACAUAGAUUUUGGUAAGUUAAGUUGCAUAUGGUAGGCCUAGAGCAAGAAAAACAACAAGACUAAAGAUAUAUAGUUAAAAAAAGAAUAGGAAUAGAUACAAUAAUACUCAAUACUAAAAGUAUUGAAAUAACCUCAAAGAAGGCAGGAAAGGAAUAAAGGGAGGGGGAAGGAAGCAAAAGAAACAAAUGGAGAAGAAAUGGCAAAAUGGUAGACAUAAACCCAACCAUAUUAAUCUUAAAUUGGCUAAACACUCCAAUUGAGAGGCGGAAGUGGGGGGCACCUGGAUGGCUCAGUCGGUUGAGCAUCCAACUCUUGGUUUCUGCUCAGGUCAGGAUCUCAUGGUUUGUGGGUCAGGGUCCCACAUGUAGAGCCCUCUGUCAGUGCAGAGUCUGCUUGGGAUUCCCUGUCUCUCUCUGCUCUCUCUCUCUCUCUCUCUGUCUCUCUCUCUCAAAAACAAAUACAUAAACAUAAAAAACAAAAACAAAAAGAGGUGGAGGUGUCAGUCUGGAUAAAGAGCAAGACCCAGCUGAACAAUGGCUCCAAAUGAUGUGCUGUAUAUAAAAAGACAUAUAGACUUGAAGUUAGAGGAUGAAAACACUAAGCUUAAGAAAGCUGAAAUGACCAUAUUAAUAAUAGUCAAAGAGUAUUACAAGAAAGAAAGAGGGAUAUUUGAUAAUGAUAAAUUCCUUACAAGGAAGACAGAAGUCCUAAAUACAUAUUGAUCUAGCAAAAGAAUUUCAAAACCAAUGGCAAAACUAAAGAAAAAAGUAAACAAAAUCCACAACAUAGCUGGAAAUUUUCAUACAACCUCUUGGUAAUAUAUAUAAAAAGUAAACAACAAAAUUAAAUUAUUAAAUAUUUAGACAGCCUGAACAAGGUUAUCUCUCAACCUGUCCUAAUUGACAUUUAUAGAACACUACACUCGAUAUCUCCAGAAUACAUAGUGCUCAUGGAACAUCCAACAAGAUUGUCUGUAUGCUGGGCAAUAAGUCUCAAUAGAUUUCAAACUACAUAACUUGUAGAGUAUGUUCUCUGACCAUUACAAUGAGAUGCUUAAUCAAAUCAAUGAAAUAUAUAGAAAACUAGAAAUCUACCCACAAUUUAUUUGGAACUUAAUCAGUAUGCUUCUAAAUAACAUUUAAAUCAAAGCAGAAAUAACAAAGGAAAUUAAAGAAAAUUUCAAAUUGAAGGAUAAUAAAAACAACAUGUCAACUGAAGAAGUAUUUAGAAGGAAUUUGUAGUUUGAAAUGCCUCUAUUAGAAAAGAAAGCUUUAAAAUAAUCUAAUAUUCACAUUAAAAAGCUAGAAACAAAUCCAAAUUGAAAUCAAUCACAAAAGAGGAAAGAUGUAAAUAUAAGAACAGAACUCAAGUAGAAAACAAACAAAAAAGAAUAUGUAACAAGUGAAAAGUUGGCUUUUAGCAAAUAUUAAUAAAAUUGAUAAACUCUUUACAAGAUUAGUUUUGAAAAAAACCCAAAAAGUAUCAAUAUAAAGAAUAAAAACAGGGAUAUCACUUUAAGUUUUAUAGGCAUUAAAUAGUUGUGAAUAUGAUGAAUAAUUUUAUGACAACGUACUAAAUAGAAAAUUACUUGAAAACACAACUUUCCAAUUUUUUAAAAUUUAAAUUAAAAAUUUUUUUAAUUAAAAAAUUUUUAAAUUUUUUUACAAAUGAAAUUUAUAAUAAAAUAAAUCUUCCCUCAAAUAAAACUUUAGACCAAUUUGGUUUCACUGAUAAAAUUUAUCAAACAGGAAAAAAAUACUAAUUUCUCCAAAUUUUUGUUUAAAAGUAAGGCAGAGAAAAAAUAUCCCAAGACUGUGAAGCCAGAAUAAUCUUGAUACCAAAGCCAGAGAGAUAUUACAAGAAAAGAAAACUGCUCCCAAUAUCCUUCAUGACAUAGACACAAAAUCUUCAAAAAUAUUAGAAAAUCAAAAUUUGCAAUAUAUGUAAAGGAUUAAUAUUUUUGAAGAUUUUGUGUCUAUGUCAUGAAGGAUAUUGAGAGUACUAUUCUACUAGUUUUUGUAGAGGCACAUGUACCCCAAUGUUUAUAACAGCACUUUCAACAAUAGCCAAAUUGUGGAAAGAGCCCAAAUGUCCAUCAACUGAUGAAUGGAUAAAAAAGAGGUGGUUUAUAUAUACAAUGAAAUACUACUUGGCAAUGAGAAAGAAUGAAAUCUUACCAUUUGCAACGAUGUGGAUGGAACUGGAGGGUUUUAUACUAAGUGAAAUAAAUCAGUCAGAGAAAGACAAAUAUAUGUUUUCAUUCAUAUGUGGAAUUUGAGAAACUUAACAGAAGACCAUGGGGGAAAGGAAGGGGAAGAGAGAGAGGAAAACCAUAAGAGACUCUUAUGGAGAACAAACUGAGGGUUGGUGGAGGAGCAGGGGAGAGGGGAAAAUGGGUGAUGGGCAUUGAGGGAGGCACUUAUUGGGAUGAGCACUGGGUGUUGUAUGUAAGUGAUGAAUCAUGGGAAUCUACUCCCAAAGCCAAGAGCACACUGUAUACACUAUUUGUUAGUUAACUUAACAAUAAAUUAUAUUUAAAAAAUAAUAAUCAAAUAAAAUAAAAAAUCUAAAUCAUCAAAAAUUUGAAAUAUUUGGGACCAGUUUAAUGAAAGAUAUUUAAAACCUCUACAAUGAUAACUUCAAAACAUUUCUUAGAGAAAGUAAAGAAGCCCUGAAUACAGUAAGAGAAAUACGUUCAUGAAUUAGUCAAUAUUGUUUGAAUGUCCUUUCCCUAUAAUUGAUCUAUGGAUUCGGCACAAUCUCUAAUACAGUCUGAACAUCCUUUUUUUGCAGACUCUGACAAGUUGCUUCUAAAAUUUAUAGAGAAGUGUGGAGAUCUAGAAUAGGCAAAACAAUUUUAGAUAAGAACAGUGAGACGACUUAUUGGAUUCCCUUUAAAGCUACAGAAAUUAAGACUGUGGAAUUAGCAUAAAGGUAAGCAUAUAGAUCGAUAGAGAGAGGACUGAGUCCCAAAAUAGACCUACACAUAUAAACCGAUUGAUUUCAACAAAGGUGCCAACCUGAUUUAAUAAAAUUAAGAUAUUCUUUUUGGGGAAAGGACAUUCAUCGUUUUCCAAGCAGCAGCAGCAGCAGCUAGAGGUGGCAGGUAGAAAGACUUCUCACGGACCCACGGAUUCCGCCUUGAGGACCAAUAUGACUGCCAAGAAGUCACAGAUAAUUGGGCAAAGCUCAGCUUAGUUCUGCAUUUGCCCAGCUUCCUGUACUUGAUUCAAUGCACUGAGUCACUCUAUCCCUGUGUUUGACUUAAAGUAGCAUAUUAAGGCUUUUUUCUAACUGACUUGUAGAUAAUUGGCAGCUACAUUGCAGUUAUAUUUUUUUAUUUUUUAUUUUUUUAUGUUUUUAAUGUUUUAUUUAUUUUUGAGAGAGAGAGAGAGAGACAGAGAGAGAGAAAGAGUGUGAGCAGGGGAGGGACAGAGAGAAGGGGUCACAGAAUCCGAAGCAGGCUCCAGGCUCUGAGCUGUCAGCACAGCACCCGACGUGGGGCUCGAACUCACGAACCGCGAGAUCACGACCUGAGCCGGUCAGAUACUUAACUGACUGAGCCACCCAGGCGCCCCAACAGUUUAUAUAUAUAUAUAUAUAUAUUUAAAUACAUAUGUGGAAUGAGCAUCAUAUAAAGAGGAGGCAUUUUUAAAAAUCAUAUGGACUUAGGUUUCACUGGUCUGCUUCCUUAUUUGAUGAUAGAACUUCUUGGCAGAAAAAAAAAUGUUUCCAUUAAUUAGAUCUAACCUGCUUCAAUUAUGAAUGAAGGACCCUUAACAGAAAAUUGAUUUUUGUUUUAUACAAUAAAUAAGUACAAAUAGAACAUAUUCUUUUGUAAAAUAGAUUGUCUCUAAUCUAAGUUGUUUUUAAUUGCAAAGCUCUUUUGGUGGAUUCAUUUCUUAGUGAAAUUUAGGUUGAUUUGAGUAAGAAAAAAAAAACUGUAUAAAUGCCUCAUUUGUUCCUGCUCAUUUGAAUAACGGCCAAAGUAAUAUUGUCUCAGGGAAUUUUUUUUUCAAAUGUGGCUUAUGAAGUAAUAAGUUAUUGAUGUUGAUGCUAACAUUUCUGGUCAUUAUUACUACAAAGCUAAAUAUCACCAAAAUUCAUUCAUUCCCAUUUGACACACAGGAUGUGCUCAAGGUUCGGAGUCCCUACAUCAAACAUACAUAUUCCCUUUAUUUCCUGACAAAGUCUAUGCAAUUUAAUUUUUAUUGCAUCAUUUUUUGAUAGCCUGUCAAUUUUUUUUAAAUGUCUUUCUUCCCAAAGAACUAAAAUACAAAACUAGGACAGAGAAAGAAAAGUCAUGUUAUCACUGACUGCUUUUUCAGUACAAAGGCUCUUAUUGGUGGCAGAUGGAUUUUUGUUCUGAAGAGCUUCAUCUUCCUCUUCUUUCUCCUGCCAACAGAAAAUUAAGCAUUAGUAAUUAAAUAUUUCAGUGGAUUUGGAUUGUGAAAAAGAUCAAUUUGGACUUUGGACCAUUUAGCAUUUAUUGUCCAUGAGAGAUAAAGGUGGAUACUUUAGUCUGAACUAUGUUAACUGUCUCAAAGCAAUUUCAAGGGAUGAUUGUAAAAUCCUCCAAUAUAACUCAUACCCUUUCAAUUAGGCAGGAGUUCCCUCCCUAUUUACACAAUUUCACCAAAUAUGUAAGAAAAAGCCUCAGACAUUUUCAUUUUUAUUUCCUACUUUGAGUGAUUUAAUUUUAUAAUGGUCAAAUUUAUUCAAUAUUUACUGUUCCCAUUAUUUUACUUUUCCAUUAUAAACAGAAAAACAUGGAGUAGGGAGAAAAAAGGUAUAAUAUAGAGAGAGUCCAUUGUAUAUAAAAUCAUUUGCAUACUGUUGAAAUCAAUACAUCUUUGAAUUGUGUCUCCUGGCCUGCUCCAACUUUACCAUCAUCACAUAAAGGGGAUGAGUCAUCACUGAUAUAAUUAUUCAAGCACUAAGAGUGGCAGUAAUGACCUUCAGAGAAAAGGACUCAAUUCUUGGAGUCCCUGAAUUCUUAGUUUCAAAGAAAACAAACAUUCAUUGGCAUAUUAAUGGGUAUAUCACACAGUAGUUUUUACUUCUCUAUAACUGGAUUAUACUGGCCAUUACUUCAGAAGAAUUUCCUAACUAGAGGGAACAUAUUGCAAGAGCAUAUCAGUGGGAAUCAUGCAUGUAUUUCAGAAGAAAAUUCUACCCCAGAGCAUGCUUUUUAAAAUGACAAACUACCAGAAUCUGAAAUCCAUCCUUUGCCAUGAUGAUAAAAAUCACCACACUGAGUGCUAAAGGGUUGUUCUGUACUGUUGAGCCAAUCUUUCCAGUUGCCAAUCUUUAUAAACAUCUUCUUCACCCCUCUAAUCUGUCCCUGGUUCUGAUGGCUAGUAAAACUGGAAUUGUAUAUGGUUUGUGACUGCAGGGGCUUGCUGGGCAUAUGAGAAAGCCCUCUCCAUCCCUAUUCUUCUUCUCCAUUUGAGAGAGAGUUCCUUAUUACUAGACUGAAUAUAACAUUACCUAAUUGUAUGUUGCUUAUAGUAAAGUGAAGGUUUUUUUUUUCCCCCAGUAUAUAAUCACCAAAGUAGCUUAAUCUGCAACCAAUGUAAUAUGGUGGAUGUUGUAUCUUUUAUAGCACAAUUGAAUGCUUUGGUAAUCCAAUGAUCUUUAUGCAUCAAAUGUUUUGUAAAUAGAACCACCUAGAGACUUAACCAAAUGUAUCAUGUCAUGCCAGAAGAAUGCCUUCAGGGCUGCUAAUUGUGCCCAGUAUUAGGGUAUAUUUCUUUUUUUUUUUUAAUGUUUUUACUUUUUUUAUUUUUAUUUUUGAGACAGAGAGAGACAGAGCAUGAGUAGGGGAGGGGCAGAGAGAGAGGGAGACACAGAAUCUGAAGCAGGCUCCAGGCUCCGAGCUGUCAGCCCAGAGCCUGACACGGGGCUUGAACUCACAGACUGUGAGAUCAUGACCUGAGCUGAAGUCGGACGCUUAACCGACUGAGCCACCCAGGCUCCCCAAGGGUACAUUUCUUAAUCGAACCUGUGUUACAAUGUGGAGUUGCUCCCCUAUGAAGAGGCAUCUCCCUUCUUAUAGGUUAAGAAUGAGAAAGUAGUCUUGCCAGAGCAGGAAUACACAAUUGCUUUGUACCAAGAGUUAGGAUUUGUAUGUCAGUUGUUUACAGAAGCUGUCUGAGAAAGCUAGCUAUCCAACACUGGGUAACCUCAUGGCCACAGGAGGCUGGCAGAGUAAAGAAACCACUUAUCCUGUGGGAAGCUGAGUUUAGAUGCAACCCCUUCUGCUAGAAGAAGGGAAAGAAGCCCCCUGCUGCCCCUGCUGCCUUAUAGUCCACAUAACCCUUACUGAACCCUUGGAGACUCUUUCCAGAUAUUUCUACUCACUGCACCAUACAUUCUGUUCAGAGGAACAGUCCUAAACAUUGUAUCAUGUGGUUUUGAAAAAGGUCAGCAAAGCUCAGGUUAGUUUCUUUUCAAGACUUGACUCCAAGAAUUACUCAUGACCAAGCCUUCAAUGAUAAAAGUUACACUCUGGUUACCCCCAAGACAAAGACAGAAAAAUCCUGAACUACCAAUGUUUUACCAUCAAAGUAAUACUGACUUACUACAUCAGUGGACAGUCAUAAAACACGAAGAAAAAUCCCUUAAAAGAUAGCUUUAUCCCCAAAAUACAUUUAGUGAACUCUAUCCCAUUAUAUUCUUUAAUAAGGUUGAUUACGCUAGAGAAACAUGUGCUCAGGUAGUUUUCAUUUAGUUGCCCUUUUGAUCCAAGGACCAGAAUACUGUUAGCAAAUCCUUUGCCAGCUCCACAGUUGUGACUUAAUCAUCUUUUGUGUUAUUAUGGUCAUCUAUUUUCUAUGCUAGUACAUGUGUGUCUUUUUAUCCAUGACAACUUGAGCAAAACAAAGAUGAAUUAUUUUAGAUAUGCAAGAAUUCUAAGUGGGUAUAUUGCAUGCCAUUUACUGACACCACACUGGUUAGAAGAUUGCUGGUAUAAAUAUUUUUAGAUUUGUGAACACUCAUGAGUCUUAUCUUAUAGGAAUCGUGUUUCCUAUAUGGCUCCAAAGGAAACUUGAGUUCUACAGGUAUUUCCUUCUGCACGAAAGUAAUCAUUCUAGGAAGGGAAUAAUUACCACUCAGUAUGUUUUAUAAAUUUGAAACUGAAUUGAUAAUGUUUCCUAAAAUAAAGCAUAUCAAGCGCUUGGGUCAGUCAGUUAAGUGCCCAACUCUUGAUUUCAGCUCAGAUCAAGGUUUCAUGGUUGUAGGAACAAUCACUGAGAGCACAGAGCCUGCUUAAGAUUCUCUCUCUCCCUCUUUCUCUCUCUCUGCCCCUCCCCUGCUCAUGCUCUCGUGUGCUGUCUCCCUCAAAAUAAAUAAAAAAUCAAACACUUAAAUAAACAUAAAAUUAAAAAAAAUAAGGCAUAUCAUAUCAUAAAGAUGACAAAUCGCCUCUUUCAAAAUGGACAUAUCUGAUUUUGAAGUAGCAUUUGCAAGAUCUUUGCAAUAAGUAAGACUGAAAAAGAGUGCCAUCAAAUUAGCAGAGUUUAUGACUGAUAGUCAGCCACAUUACAAAUUAUAAAUACAUUACAAAUGCAUACUAUGUACUUCUGCUUGAACUGUUCUGCUCCUAAACCGGCGUGCUUCUGUGUCAAUAUACUGCAGCAUGAGGCCUUGCUAAGUUGAUGUGACUGCAUGGUAAUGUUCACAGAUUUACUGAGGCAUCAUAUUACUAGAGUGAUUAGGUUUGGUAUACAUAACACCAUAGUGUCGGCGAUGUUGAUGUUGGCUCAGAAGCCAUUCAAAUUAGCAUUGCUCAUGGCAUUUUUUAUAUACUAAGAUGUUGCUCAUAGUAGCAAUAUUGAAGAAAAUACUUCUUCUGUAGGUGUCACACAACACCCCCAACUGUCAGGGAAACAGAUUAAGCAGUUUAAAGGCAGGGUUGUGAAAACAAAGGAUGAAGUAUUAGGAAUUAUGCAAUCAUUUAUAAAUGACUGUUCCCAAAUUCUUGUGUUUAUAUCUUUAUUGCACUUUUCGGCUGUGUUUACAUUAUGAAGACAUAACUCUCGUGUAUGCUGUUGGGUUUUAUAGAGGCUUCUUUCAGACAUUUACAUUAGGAAUUCAGUUUUGAAAUAAAAGUCAUUCCCAAAUUAGGCUGAUGGUGUUUAUUAAAAUGAAAUUAAUGCCUGUGCCCCCAAAUGGCUCUGAUGGUAAUUAACCAAAAUCAAGUACUAGAACAUUGCAAUUUUUAAAAACCAAACUGAUAGUUAAUUUUUAAAAGGAGACAAUCACCUAGUAUGGAUCAAAUUUUAAUGCAUUUACUUAGUUUGCCACCAUUUCAAGAGCUUCGUCAAACAUUUCCCAUUUUCCCAGUAAAAGCAGAGCAGUAGCACAUUAAAGGAUACCUCUUUAGAAUGAUAUUUCUUUGCUGAAAGAUGUCCUCAGUUGAGAUUAUUUACAUAAGCCCUUCACUUCCAAAUGCCCAUUGCAUUUUAUAGUGUAUUCUACUUUUAGUAAUCACAGUGGAAAAUAGCAUUCUCAUUUUUCAACUGAGUAAUUGAAAAAAAAAAAGGAUAAGUUAUUUAUCUAAGGUCACUCAAAUAAGAAAGAGCAGAAAUACCUACACAGAAUUCAUGGCCAAAACACCUGCACUUUCUUGGAUUAACUGGAUGACUCUGAGUUCUCCUUUUGUUAGCUGUGUCUGAACAAGAUCCCACUACUACAUAGCAUUUAGAGUUUACGGGAAACCUUAACAUAUAUUAUCACACAUAAUACCCACAAUCCUGGGAUGGCAGGUAUUUUCAUCCCAUUUUUCUCAUGAGGAAAAUGGAAGUUUAAAAAAGAUACGUUGAUUUUUCCAAGGUCACAUACAUAAUAAUUGGGAUAGAAGGUAAUUUGGAUUUUCAAAACCAGCCUUCUUUCCUCUUCACCAUCAUUCCAGUUGACUUUUCCUGAGUCCUUGUAGUCAUUGCCAGUGAAAGCAUAUUCUAUCCUUCAAGAUCUGUCUCUGUACCACCUGCUACACAAAGUCCCUAAUGCCCCAACAUUCCCAUAAGGAAUGUAUGAAUAUGUUGCAGAUAAUUUAUAAUAUGUGGCUCAUUUCUUUCUCUUGAACAAAGCAGUAAAGGGAAAGGACCACUGAGCCUGCAUAUAACACUUGUUCAAAGAGCACUGAUUGAACAAAUGGAGUAACUAAUGAGUGGAAUCAUUAACUAAGGGAAAUAAUAUAUAUAUUUUUAAAUGUUCACAUAACAACCAUCAUGGGAUAAUAGUUGACAAUAUGCUUAAAAUAUUAUCUGGCCUCCGCUCCUAGAAAAGGAGUAUCUGUGGAUUUACCUUAGCCUGAAUAUAGGAAAAGCCAGGGCUAAUGCUCAGAGGUAGCANNNNNNNNNNNNNNNNNNNNNNNNNNNNNNNNNNNNNNNNNNNNNNNNNNNNNNNNNNNNNNNNNNNNNNNNNNNNNNNNNNNNNNNNNNNNNNNNNNNNNNNNNNNNNNNNNNNNNNNNNNNNNNNNNNNNNNNNNNNNNNNNNNNNNNNNNNNNNNNNNNNNNNNNNNNNNNNNNNNNNNNNNNNNNNNNNNNNNNNNNNNNNNNNNNNNNNNNNNNNNNNNNNNNNNNNNNNNNNNNNNNNNNNNNNNNNNNNNNNNNNNNNNNNNNNNNNNNNNNNNNNNNNNNNNNNNNNNNNNNNNNNNNNNNNNNNNNNNNNNNNNNNNNNNNNNNNNNNNNNNNNNNNNNNNNNNNNNNNNNNNNNNNNNNNNNNNNNNNNNNNNNNNNNNNNNNNNNNNNNNNNNNNNNNNNNNNNNNNNNNNNNNNNNNNNNNNNNNNNNNNNNNNNNNNNNNNNNNNNNNNNNNNNNNNNNNNNNNNNNNNNNNNNNNNNNNNNNNNNNNNNNNNNNNNNNNNNNNNNNNNNNNNNNNNNNNNNNNNNNNNNNNNNNNNNNNNNNNNNNNNNNNNNNNNNNNNNNNNNNNNNNNNNNNNNNNNNNNNNNNNNNNNNNNNNNNNNNNNNNNNNNNNNNNNNNNNNNNNNNNNNNNNNNNNNNNNNNNNNNNNNNNNNNNNNNNNNUCAAAGAGCACUGAUUGAACAAAUGGAGUAACUAAUGAGUGGAAUCAUUAACUAAGGGAAAUAAUAUAUAUAUUUUUAAAUGUUCACAUAACAACCAUCAUGGGAUAAUAGUUGACAAUAUGCUUAAAAUAUUAUCUGGCCUCCGCUCCUAGAAAAGGAGUAUCUGUGGAUUUACCUUAGCCUGAAUAUAGGAAAAGCCAGGGCUAAUGCUCAGAGGUAGCAAAGAGCAAUGUGGAAAUGUAGUCUCAGGUGAGGUUUGUCCAGGAAGCUGGAAAGUUCUGAAAAUGCAAGUCUGUGGGAGCAGCCAGGGGUGAAUACUGGAUCUUACAAAACUGUACAUACUGUAGUCAUAACAGAAACUUGUCAAGGGAGGUUUUUUAUUGAAUCAAGAGAUGUUCCUCCUGCUUUAAUUUAUCCACACAGUGCCCAAGAGCAUGUAAUACAUCUAGAUUGCCCUCAGUGUUUUCAAGCUCAUGGAGAAGGACAGAAAAGGCAUUAUUUGCUUGUUACCUUAUGGGACUCUAGAUCUUUCAAAGGCAGGACUGUGUCUUGAUUAUCAUUACACCACCAGUACAAAACAAAGUGCCUUACACUUAAGGGAUACUUAACAACUUUAAAAAUAAAUAAAUAACCAAAAGCCCAGAUUACUGUAGAGGGGAAGGGGUCCUCUGUGAUUGGCCAGCUUGUUCUCCUCCCAAAAUGCUUUGCAGGAUGAGAUCAACUCGAUAACUUUCCCAUGGUACAGCAUCUGGUCCUAGGUCUUGAAGAAGGUGAUGCUUUAUUUGCAAGCACACAUAGAAUGGUCCUCUCUCAGAUGCAUACUCACAUUAACUUAACUCACAAAACUUAUAAAUAAAACUAGAGUGACCACAGAUUUAUCUUAGUGUAAAAUCUACUUGAUUUAAUUUCUCAGUUCUGACAUAUUAUCUCCCUAAAGACAAUAUAUGAAAAGUCCAAUCAUAAUCCAGUUUCCUAAAUGAGAAUACAGUUGAAAACUUGAAUAAUCAUAUAAAGCCAACAUCUUGACAAAAGGGCAGAGAUGUUCUUGACAAAAGCAGGGAGAGUCAAAUUCAUUGACCAGAGAUCUUUGUUCACUCAUCAAAUUAUGCUAGCAUUUACCCAUUUACCUCCCUAAUUCUCCAUUUUCUUUGUCCUGGAAGCUGAUAGUGCUCUCUUUUAAUGGAUUUAUUCAUUUAAAAAAUCCAUGUUAAUAUAUACAUGUUAAUAUACGUGUGUUAAUAUAUUCCCUUAGUUACCAUCAAGUCUUGCAGGCCUGAGAGCUAGUCUACCUCUAUGGAAGUUUAGUGCAUUUCUCAGCUGUGUUGACAUUAAAAUUUUAAUCUUAGAGCAGGGAAGGCAAUGAGAUUUUUCUCAUUUCAAAGUUCCUAGAGCUCAAGAAACACAACAGAUGAAUAUAAGGGAAGGGAGGAAAAAAAUAAGAUAAAAACAGAGAGAGAGGCAAACCAUAAGAGACUUUUAAAUACUUAAAUACUCUUAAACUGAGGGUUGAUGGAGGGGUGUUGGGUGGAAGGAUGGGCUAAGUGGGUGAUGGGCAUUCAGGAGAGCACUUGUUGAGAUCAGCAGUGGAUGUUAUGUGUAAGUGAUGAAUCACUAGGUUCUACUCUUGAAACCAAUACUACACUGUAUGUUAACUAACUUGAAUUUAAAUAAACACAUUUUUUUAAGUUCUUAGAGGAAGCCCCACUAUAUCCUGAAGUCCCAACAGAAAUUGGAUAAAAGAACAAUUAACAGCAACAACAAAAUUGUUUCCCAGUGGAAUUUACUGAGUAGAGAGGCUCUCACAACAUCAAGAGAAGCAUAAUUGCUGUCGAGCCUUACCUAAAUCCUUGGUACUCUCCUGGCUUCUCAGAUGAAGCCAAUUGACCCCACCUAUAGUAUAGAUCUAGCCCAGGUCUGUGAUCAGAGGAAAGGAGAUCUAAGUACUUGUCCCACAUUCUGGGUUUCUGCAACCCUUGUUGUUCGGCUCUCUCUGAACUCUUGCUAGAGUAUGACAACUGGGGAUCUCACAUUGCCUAGAGACCACACUCCAUCAUGUGCUCCAAUACUAGAUACUCUCUGAGACAAGCGACAUAGGCAGCCUGACAUGAUCCUAUAGGGAGGAACCUGGGAGAGUAAAUACUUUGACCUAAAUUUCCUCCCUUCUUCUCUCUACUCUCCCUUUCAUUUCCUUCUGUCAGCCUCUUAAAGAGCAAGGUGGAGAAGAAUCCAAGGGAAUAAGGGACAGCUAAAAUAGUAGAUAAAAAUGCAACCAAGCAGUGGAACUUUAGUCAAGUUCCUUUUCUAACCUUAGUUUCUUAUUUUUAGAAUGGGAAUAAUGAUAGCUACAGAAUUACAAUAAUAAAUAAGCUGGUUCAUGGAAGAGUGGUUAGCCAAGAACCUGGUAUACAGUAAGAGCUUUAAAUAUGCCAGCUAUCACUGUCAUAGGUGUCAUUACUAUAUUAACCACUACACUAAUCCUCUCUUCAGCCUCCAUCCACUUUGAACAAUCCUGACAGCUAAGCCCCAUCUUCCUGAGACUGAAUUCCUGUUUUGAACUGUGGCUUGUAUGCAAUCCCUUCUUACCUAAGAUUCAAGCAAUCAGUGGCAACUCCUUGCCUUCCCAGCCUUCCAGAUUCCCCAUAAUUGGGGUAUACCUGAUCAUUAUCACAUCUUGGACUUUUCUGCUAAGAACUGCUUUACUGAAUAAACUACCCACUGAUGGGUAUACUAAUAUAUUGCUGUAUAUUAGUCUUUUUACCAUCAGAUUAAGAAUAGCAAUAGUCCCUAGGUUUGAGACUUUCUAACCCCAUGUCUUUAUUCUUAACUGGCUACAGCUGGUAUCAUCAUACUCCAAGAUAUGACAAGGACAAGAGUUUAUAUUUAAAAGCUUGGUGUUAUUUAGAACCAUAUACAUUACUGUAGCAUUUAAGAGUGACAUUUAGAAAAUGAAAGGAUGCACCAUUAGGAAUUAUGGGCCUGUAUACAAAUGAAUACAAAUGCAAACACAAAAUGCUUUGGUCAUUCCCUAUUUCCUUCCUGAGUCUAUGGUUUAUGGGUGAAGGCUUCAUUGGCCACAGAAACCAUUUUGGAAGGAUCAUUACCAAUUGCAUAAAAGUUUGACAGUCAAAACAUAUUAGAUGAUUGUUGGCCAUAACUUACUGAAAAUAUGAGCAUAAGUGGAGCAAAACUGAGACAGGGGGAUUGUUCUGAGACUCUGAAUACCAACAAUAUAUUUGAAUCCAGUAAUUUACUGUUGCCAACUUAGUAUGGCUCUAUGAAGCACUUUAAACUCUAUUGCUGGCUAGAGUGGUCAUUUGAUGGGUGAGAGGUUUUUGUUUUAUUUUCCAACAGGUUUAUAUGUUUUCUUUCCUUGGCAACAAGAUUCCACUAUUGCUUUUCUACCCUGAAAACCCUGUUCUUCUCUGCCCAGUUUGGGGUGUUAGGAAGUGAUACAGAAAGUGAUUUUAUCUUCUCUCUAGGAAUGUGCCUCCAGAAUGAAACAGCGGCUUUGGCUUUGUUUUGUCAAGGACCAAGAAUCUAAUAAAAAGCUGAGCUGCCAUAGGGAUAAGGAAAGGUGAACCUGAGAGAGUAAGACAUCUAUCGCUUACAUUGGGUACCUGUAAAGUGUCUAAAUGAACAUAGUUUAUACCCCAGGAUUUCUCACUUUGAUUUAAUUUCUUGUUCUCUAAAUGUCUGACUUAGUAUGACAUAUUCCCUAUGGAAGGCAAAAUUACAUGAUUGUAAUUGGGUGAAUACAAAUAAUGUCAUAAUAAAAGAUAAUCAGAAGAUAUGAAAUCCUCACCCAAAGCUUCUGAUUCCUGGCCUAAGGCCUUGCAUGUAUCUUUGUAAAGCUUCAAAUGUGGCUUGUGAUAUAAGCCAGAAACAAAGAAUAAUUAUGCAUUCUAUUGAUGCCAUGAUUAACAGUAAUAUCACAUCCUUUGACAAAUGACAAAUGGCAUUAUAACUUAACGUUUCUUUAGUGUUAUAGAAACAACAUGAGGAAUUAAAUGAAUUUGAACAUUCAAAGCUGGGGGAAAGUAGCUAUCUCAGACAUCUGUCAGUAAUUCAAAUAAAUUCUGUGGCCUUUCUUUGGUCUGUUGAUUGGGAGUUUUAAGUGAUGGAGUAAUCACUUGAAACUGGUAGGCUUCUUUUCAGAAGUGCUGCUCACAGUGGUCUGGCUGCAACACAGAAUCUAAGGGGAAAAUGUUUUCCUAGACCACUGAACCUGUCCUUUAUAAUGUGAUGCAGCACCUAGGAAAUAAUUAGCUGUGAGAUCUUGGACUAUUCACUUAGACUUACUCUUCAACUGUAAAAUAAGAGGUUUGGUGACGAUGAUCUUUUAUUCCCUUACAACUAUUACCUUAGGGGAUUCUAAGGUACUUCUUGACAUUCUCUAGAGUAGCAGGACCACCAAAUAGGCCCAAGUUCAUUCUCAAACUCAUGCAAACACAGCUCUAAUUUAACAGAUGAUGUAUUUUUGGUGGACAAUUUGGGUGGCAAUUUCUUUAAUAUCUAAGUUUCUUCAAGAACUAAAAAAGAGUUCUUCCUAGAAAGUUAUACUUACUAUCAGUUUGAAAUGGAACAUAAAAAGAGUAUCAAGUAUUAAUUUUAUAUACUUUUCCCAAGCCACUUGCUCCUCUUUCUCUCCCUUAGACAUUACAUUUCUUUCGUAUCACUUUUCAUCAAUUUCUUGGAAUUGUCUGCUCACAAUUCAAUGCUCACAAAUGAAAUGAGUAUCUUCUCCACAAUCAAAGAUGCUCGAUUCCAAUGCACAUGUCACCAUGUUUUGGACAAUUUCACCCAACACCUUUGUUAUAGUUGAAGAACCCCUACAGCAAAGUCACUCAACCCUACAAUGGCUUACACAGCCUAUGAUGUGUGCCCUAGAGUUAAAUAUCUAUCAUAGUUGCUCUGUGUGGGACCAUGCUUAUCUGUCUCGAUUAGAUCAUUUUCCUGAGAAACGUGAAUAGAAUGUAUAGAGAGACUCAGAAGAUAUAGUAGCACAGAAGAAGAAAGAUAGGUUGUAAUAGAGAGGAGCCAUUAGACAAUCUUAACCAUGAGUAAAGCAGGAGGUAGGCCUGACCUCAAUCAAAAGCAGAAACAGAAGUACAGAAAGAAUCACAGAGAUAAACUGAGUUGAGGAAUAAUUCAUUACCAGAAUUGUUGUUGAACCACUAGAGCAGAUAGAAUUUUUACUGAGUUCUAGUUCUCCAUGAGGCCUGAGUAUGUAGCUGUUGAGACUUUGCUCAGUACUUCCUGACUCCUCUGUGUGAAUUCUGACCAAAAGGUGCAUACCUUUCUGUAUGUAUAACUUCUCAUUGUAACCCGAGUCUAACAUAGGUUAGCUUCAAUAAAAUCAACUUGUUCUAUCUGGUCCAAAUGGAUUGGUUCCUGAAUAUGCAAAAGCCUAGUGUACCUCAGCAAGGAUAGACAGAAGGGAGUGACAGUGCACAUCAGUGUACAUUUGCAUUUAUAGUAAGGAGUUUUAAUAAAAGAAUAAGAGGUAAAGGAAUCUAAAGCUAAAAGCUAAAAGUUUACGUAAGUAUCCAUAAGUUGGAUUUAUCCCUGAUAUCCCUAUUCAUCAUUUGCAGAGAUGUUCACAAUUGAGGUGUAAUGAAAUUAUUUUGUAAAUAGAGUUGGGUUAAUGUUAUUAUUGCUUUCAUGAAUCCCUGGUAUCAGCAGUAUGGCUUAUCAUUCUUUACCAGAGAAUGUCAAAAGAAUGGUAUAAAUUAGACCAUAGAAUGCUUACUCUGUCUGCUAGUUGUUGAAGUAUUUAUCAGAGUGCUAAUUAGAGUCCUGUUUAUGAGGCUGAAAAUGCUCAGGGCGAAUUUCUCACAUAGUUCCUGUUGGUGGGCAUAGUUUCCAGAAAAGCAUGGUUACAUCUGGUGUGUACCUUGUAGCUCAGCAUUGAUAUUUUAUUCAUUUUAUGGCUAGCAGCAGUUUAGAAGGCAAUAUCUUUCUGAAACAGUGGAUUCAAUACAAAUAGCAAUGUAGCUAUGAUAUGGUUGCUCUGUUCUAUGAAGUGGAAAACUUUAAAAGGAAAACCUGUGUGAUUUGAAUAUCCUUGUAAACCGUGUUUAAUGCACCUUUAAAUGAAAGGAGAGGAGUUGAUCACAGAAACAAAAGCACUCAAUACAUCUCUCACCUUGAUCUGAUGCAAAGUAAAACCCAUGGGAUGUCAGGAGAAUGAAAAGCAUUAUUGUAGGGCCAUUUCAGGAACCAAGGAGCCCAGAACAACAUUUUGACACAUGGGAAAAAAGACAAUGCUUUCUCCAGUCUGAUUUAGUUUGUCAGUCAGGCAAUGAGCCAACAACAAACUUAUUUGUUUUGCCCAACAUAAUUGCUAAUUUGAGGAUGAGUAUAUUUUCUUUUUAACUUUAGUCUAUCUAGUCUUAUGUUUAAAUCGGUAUUCAAAAACAGUCGGGAUUAAGAUCAUUCAUUCCUCAUAGUGGAAGAUGAUUAGUUUUCAUUGACCAUAAAGCUGGGUAAUAUGCAACUGUAGCUGCUGACCAAUUUCAUUCAUUUAUUUGGAAAAAUGAACGUCUCUGGCUGGAUUUGAAAAUCCGUAAAGGGACAAUGUUCUUUAUCCAGUUAAUUACUCCAUCAAAGAUAUGGCAAAACUUAUAACAGUACCUUGCCCACAGCCAUCAAUACUGUGGUCCCCAAAUAACUCUUCCCAUUACAUUUACACACAGUUCACAGUAGUGUCCUGUGAUUUACAUGAAGAAUGAAAUAAGAUUUGAGAAGCCUGAAGUCAUCCUUGCAAUGUUACCUGAUUAAUAGAUGUGGUAAACCUUGAUAAUCUUGCACCUUGGUGGUGGUGAAGGACAGAAAAGUAUUUUCUAACCCUGCCUUUCAAUCUUCAAUAUCUCACCCAGAAAGGCAAUUUAGGGCUAAAAGAGAACCAUAAAAUAUUGGGGUAAGGUAGGAUGAAGAAAAUGAGGAGAAUGGCCAUUGAUAAAAUGCCAUUUCUUUUCUGUGAUGAAUUUUCACCUUACUCUGAAUACCCAGCUGACCAGGUCAGGUUAAUACAAGUUGUCAUCAAAUGGCAAACAAAAUUCAGGGAGUUAUAGAUGUGCUUUUUGUUGUUGCUAUAUGACAGUGGGGAUUUUUCAUAGGUGUUAGUAAAACACUUCAGAACAAAGACUUGGGUCCACAGAUGACACUUUUGGUAGUUUCUCCCUCUUUUAUCUAGGGCUUUCACCUAACAUUUUUAUCCUAGUGAAUUCUAGCUAAAAUAAAUAUCAAAAGAAUGUACAGCAUAAGAGUAGUACGUGAAAAAAAGAAGACAACAUCAAAGCCAACCUCUAUCCCCUCUGAGUUGGGGGAUUUGUUUUUAAGCCAGCCACUUCUAUUCACUUAGUACAGUUUAGUAUUAACAAAGAUACCUGUAAAUAAAGACUUAAUAUCUCUUCUGAUUUAGCACCCUCCUUGCGAAGGAUGUUCCCCUGAGAAUUAUAGAAUUGGGGGCUGGGGGAAUGGUGACGUAGUCCUUAACUUCCAGACUUCUCAGACUGUUGUAAAUGGCAAACUAACAUAGAAAAAAGGGUGAAUAUGGAUAUAGUGUAGAAAAUGGAGAGCAGGUAAGGGAGAGAGUGAUUCCAACCUGGGAGAUCCAAAAAGCUACGUAGAAAAAAACAAAAUUUUAAGUAGGGGCUUGGAGGAUAGAAAUUUGAACAGUGGAAAGAGAAAUAGACAAUUUGGUACAGAGAGAAAACAUGGAAAAAUGUGCAAUCAGUAUUUACCCAAUUAAAGAGUUGACUACUAAAAUGAGGCAAAGUUAGAACAAAUUUAGAGGAGGGCAUCUUUCUGAAGUGCUGAAGAGCACAGUGUUGGUGUGAUGUAAGGGGAAAUAUUGGAUGAUAAAGAUGUAAAGAGAGACAAUGGCCCACUUCAGUAGAGUGCUGUCCAUCAUUCUGAAGGGCCAUGGAAAGUAUCUGAGGAGGGAAGUAAUGUAAAAAGAUAUAUUUUAGGGGCACCUGGGUGGCUCAGUCGGUUGAGUGUCUGACUUCGGCUCGGGUCAUGAUCUAGCAGUUCCUGAGUUCGAGCCCCACAUCGGGCUUGCUGCUGCCAGCGCAGAGCCCGAUUCGAAUCUUCUGUUCCCCUCUCUCUGCCCCUCCCCCACUUGCGCUGUCUCAAAAAUAAACAAACAUUAAAAAAAAAAGAUACACUUUUUUUUUUAAUGUUUAUUUAUUUUUGAGACAGAGAGAGACAGAGCAUGAACAGGGGAGGGUCAGAGAAGAGAGGGUGACACAGAAUCCAAAGCAGGCUCCAGGCUCUGAGCUGUCAGCACAGAGCCCAAUGCGGGGCUUGAACUCACGAGUUGUGAGAUCACGACCUGAGCCGAAGUCGGACGCUUAACCGACUGCGCCACCCAGGCGCCCCGAUACACUUUAAAAGGUACAUCUGGCAGCACACUUAAUGGAUUGGAACGUGGAGCGGCAAAGAUACCAUUGAAUUAAUUACUAAAGUGUUGGUGAAUUUCAAUAAAAUGUUUAAUGUAACUAAUAAUUCUUCAGUGUGUUAGGAUGUACAAAGUUCUUUCACAGGAAUUUUCUCAUUUGAAUACAACCUGUUAUAAGGUAAAAGGACAGGACUGAAUAUAAAGCACAGAUGUGAGACACUCUGGAGGCUGAACUGAAGACUCUGACUUGAAUGGAUGUUGAGAAAACUGGCCUAGGACUUCAGUCUGAGUUGAGAGUCACCCAUCAUCAUCACCAUCACCAGCAACAACACGUUGAGGACAAAUGAGGUGUUAGGGCCUGUGCUAAAAAUUUAUACUAGGCGAUCUCAUUUAGGCUUUACAAUAACUCUAUGUUGUUCACCCUAGAUCACAGAUGAGAAGACCAAGGCUUAGCAGAUAUUAAAAAACAUGUCCAAGAUCAGACAGCUAGCAAGUGACAAAGCUCACACUUGUCUGAAUCUGAAGAGGUCAACUACUUUAGCCUGUAACACCUUCCAUUAUACUGGUCUGUGUGACAACCAUAAAAGCAAACGCUGUUUAUAUCUGCAUGUUUUAUGGAAGAUAUGCAGAUCUUAUAAAAAAUUUAAUUUGACCUUUUUUUUAGGCUAUUCAUUAUUUGAUUCAAGGAUAAAUAGUACUUUCCUUUAAAGUAUGAGCCAGGAGCCUGUCAGAUUUUAUUAUAAUGGCAACAGAUCCCACUUAAAGAAACUUGGCAGUCUCUCGCCAAACUAGAUUUUGAUUAAAAUGGUGUACAAAUAAUGGGAAGCUUUUCUGCCAAGAUGCUGUAGCAUAUAAUAGAGUCACCUUUACUCUCAAACGUGGGUCACAUCAAAACUCCUUAAGCCUUAAGUGAAGAAAAUAAUUUUCCUUUACCACCUAGUCACAUGUGACAAUAUUUGCAUUGCCAACAUCACCAUUUGCAGUCACAAAGUCAUUUCCAACAUGCCUGACUUCCAGCAGUCUCGUAUAAACUAUUAUGGGUUUCUUCUGGAUCCUACCUUAAAUCUUUGUGACCAGUGGGACCACUUAGAAGUUACUGCUUCAGUGCACUAAGUGGACCCCUGGUGACAUGAAACAAUUAAUGACUUGUCCAGAAAUGCUUGGUUAUAGCUUAAAUCAAGAAUAAGAAUGAGGCUUUCUAUUGCUUCAUCUUCUACAGUGUAUUUUUAUGUAAGUGUAAAUGUGUACACGUCAGAUUGACUAUGAUUUUUAUCUAUGCUAUGUUUAAAAUCACAGGCUGCCUAGUGACAGUUUCUUUUUCUCUAUGUACUUUAAUUAGUCACUCACAUUCUCUACAGAGAGGUUGUAUUUGAAAAUAUCCUAAACAAAGAAAGGCUUAAAGGUGCAGAAUCAUACUUUUACCAGCAUUUAGGGGCUCUAGUUAAAAAGAUAAAGCCACUCAGCCACAAAAUGUUAAAGAAGUGAUGAGCAUCUUUUUCCAUAGAGUAAAUAUUAUCAUGUUUGUCAUCUUGUCUUUCCUUUGUAUAGGUGUGUCACUUAUUUUAUUCAUAAGUUUUUCCUGUAGUAAGAGAGGAAAUAGACAAGUCUAUGUUAAAACCCUUUCCAGAGAAAGCACUGAUGGGGGAGGGGGUAGUCUAUUUAAAGUGUAUUGUCUCUUUGGUUAAGCAGGAAAUGAAUUUGCUACAAAGGGUUGGAACCCACUCUGAUAGAAUUGAAGGUAAUUAAAAUCUAAUGGUAGAAUCUAACCAUUUAAAUUGCAAUUUAAAUUGGUCAAAUAGGAUUGAAAUCAGAAUACUUGACAAGCUUAAAAUGGGACUAUAAGAGAUUCACUGUGUGCAUGUGAAAUAUUUGCUUACUCCGGAUUGAAAUGAACAUUGCAUGGAUGCAAUGAAAUAGUGUCUAAAUUUAUAUGACUUUUCAUUAGUAUAAAAACAUGGUUGUGAGGAUUUGCAUCUUAAAAUAUAUAAUGACAAAGAACAACUGGCAUAAAAUUAAAGGCUUUCAAUAACAAACAAAAGAUGAUUAUGUAUUUGCUGUUUAAGAGAUCUUAUCAUUUUAGUAUGUUUGGUUUAUUAUAUAAAGUCUAAGAUGGGAAUUUCAAAUUAUCAAAUUACACUUAUUUCUGGUUUAACCUAAGGCUACAUGGUUAGGCUCAACAGAUAUUCUCUCCUCAAGUGUGGAAAACUUAAAGUUACAAUGCAUAUGUUUCCACAUGUAAUUAUACUACUUUUGUUAAGAUGUUAAUAUAUUGAAGUAGUUUGACCUAUGAAGUAGAAGAAAUGUGGUUUUUGCAUUUCUUAUAAGAAAUUAAUAAAGCAUAUAACAAUAAGGAAUCCAAUGGAAAUUUAGAGACAUUAUGAUUUACCAAAGUGAACAUAGGUAUCCAAGAGUUUCACUCAAUAUUUUUUCUAACAUAUCACUAAUUCCUCCCACUUUGCAUACAACCUAAAACCCAUGGUAUAGGUUACUUUUAUUACUGACCACAAAUGACUUGUAAUUCCACCACAUUUACAUCUGUCAGACUCCAUCUUGUUCCAGGUAACCAGGGGAAUGGCUUUCAGGCCUCACUGACCAAUAAAAUCUAGAUCUCUGAACAAGGCUAUGAAGUGAAAUACGCUGAUAGAAGAAUAGUUAAAGCACCAACAAUAAAAGCGCCUAAUUGAAAUUUUUUGAAUUAAGGAUUUUGUUGAUUGUGAUACAUUUAGACAUACAACCCCCAUGUCUAUACACACAUGCACGCAUUUUUAAAAACUUUAGUUUCCUGAGAAUUUUGUAUCUCAAGGAAAUGAGUGUUUCAUUCAUAGUAGAAGACUUGACCACCAUAUAACAUAACAACAUAACCUCAAGGGGAAUCAUUAUCCCAAGAGGGAAAGGGAAACACAAGGAGGAAAAAUGUUUCAACAGAAAUAAGAAAACCCAGGUCUCACUCCAUUAGCUUUAUUAAAAUUAUAGAUAAGCAGAUGUUCAUGAAAGGCUAUGUAUUUAUGUAUUUUCCCAUAGAAACCAUAUUGAAAUUGAGAGCUGUGUUCUUGACAAGAGAUUUGGCAUAAAAGUAAGCCUAGCUUAGGCCAACGAUGUCAUAAAAAUAAACAUAAAAUUCUUCCAUAUAUUUAAUAGUAAAAUUAUGCUCAGAGUCCAAUAAAAUGAGCAUAAAUAUCCUAUACACAUCGAUUAUAUAAGAGGGCACUCUAUGCUAUAAAGUAUACAUGCUGCCCAUAAAUAAUAUUGUGCUAUACUAUAAAUUAAAGCUACUUAAAAUUAAUAUGCUAGCUUUAAUAAGGAUUAAACAUUUAAUUAAUAAUAUUUUUUCUUGCCUUCUUAGAAAUGUUAUAUAUGAAUGGCCUGGGUCUCUGAAACUGGUGCUUAGGGAAGUCUGAAAUGACUUUUUCUCUUCGAAAGAUUCUCCCUCUUGACCCACAGGAUCUAGGCUGUAAGAGAUUCUGAGACUGCGCUGAAUACAGCAUGAGAGAAGUUAGCUGAGAAUAAGCAUGAAUACGAAUCCACAUGACCAGGAUCCUGGGGGGUUGGCCCGCCAUCUAAAAUUCAAAAUCAAACCUCAGAGGACUUAGACAUGAUCUCGGCUUGUAUAAAUUCCAAGGGGCAGAAGUGAUAGAGGAGAAGACCUGAAAGAAGAAUCUUCUAAUACUGGGGCUUGGUCAAGGAGCUCAGCGGCUCAUGAUUCUAGCAGGACGACACCCAGGCAGCAGUUGAUAGGAAGAGAGGCAGAGAAAAGUGCUACGCAGGUUGUCAGAAAAGUACAGAAUGAGUCAGAGAUUAGAACUGAAGUCCAGUUACAAGAGGUGACAAGUAUCAGGAAAGAGUGCAGCCUGAUGGGCACACAGAUGACUGGAGAAUUCCAAGAGAUCCAAUGGCAAUGGGUCUUACAAGAAGCGAGGCAAACUUAAGACCAUCACCCAGGAUGGAGAAGGGACCCCUAUACCAUCACAUUUCUCUUCCUCAGCUCUAGUCUGUAUCUACCAUAACCUGCAUUUCAGCAGCCUGGAGCAAGCAGAGACCUGCACCUCCCCCAACACACAGGCACUCAAAUGUCAUUCAGCGACCUCUAGCCUGAUGCUCAUAAAUCAUGUUUUUGUUUCCAGAGUCUUGAUAGUAGCUAAACAUUUUUUCCAAAAAAUUACCUUGGUAAUAUACAAUAUAUUUAAAGUAAUAUCUGUAGCUUUAGUUUAAGCUUUUGAAAAAAGCCAAACCUUGUGAAUUUGGUCCUUUUAUUUAUUUCUUACUUGUUAAAUAAUUUGCUCUUCUCCCUUGUCUCAUUCUAAUAAAAGCACUGAGGCUGCCCAAGAAAAUACAAAUAGGAAGCUGGGGGAUAUACAUGGAAAGGAGGAACAAGAUCUGUACUCCUCUGCCUUGAUGCUAUGCUAUCCAGAGAAGUGUUUAUGGUUUGAUUAUAUUUGUAUGCGUUUGAAAGUUUUCAUUUCAAUUUUUGGAAUCGCAUUUAUUACUUUAUUUGCAACACUUUAACAUAAAUACAGAGGGAAUUAUUAUCCCCAUUUUACAGAUUAGAAAACUAACUUGGAGAAGCAGUAAGUGGUAAAUGCAAAUCCACACUUUAAAAACUCAAGGCAGGGAUUUAUCUGUGCUCAAAUCCUUUCACAUAGUAGAUCCUCAGGAAGAUUUACUAAAUGAAUUCAUUAGUAGAUGAUUUUUUUUCCACCAAAGUACUAUGUUUUUGGGUGGAAGCAGGAUAAGGAAGAAAAGUGAAGACACACAGGGAGGAGUGAGGCUAAUGGUAACAGCAUGCUUGCUAUAUGUCAGUCGCUGAAUAAGCAACUUAAACUCAUGUAUUCUUCAGAACUACUUGUGAAGGUAAGUAGAAUUAUGUUUCACACUGUACACGUGAGGAAACUACAAGGUAUGUUUCAGGGAAAAGACUCAAACCCAGGUAGGUUGAUUCGCAAGCCAUACUUUUAACCUCCCACCACUAUACAGAUACAGAAACAAACAAAGAAGUUAGAAGUCAUAACAAUGGCAAAGAGCAGAAGCAAUAGUCAGGAGAAAUCAGGCAAGGUGGAAGGUCUAAUAUCUACUGAGUGCCAGGCCUUUACACAGAUUGUCCCCAGUCCUCAAAUUAACCCUAUUAAAUUAAUUAAAGAAUGAGGCCAUUAGACUGAGGUGGCUCUAUUGCGCUGGAGGCCAAACUGAGAGAACCAAAAUCCAACUCGGUAAAUGCGUCAAGGUAAUGAAAUAGAAAUGCUGAGGACAACCAGUCACAAACAGCCAGCUAGGCUUCAAGCUACAGCCAAGAAAUCAUUUCCUUUCUUUGCUUCUGCCUUUUCUUUACAGAAGUCUUUCCCCUGGCUCCUGUUGGCAAAAUGUUCCAACCACUUCCAGUUUGGUAUUGCCCGAUUCAAAUGACUCAAGCUGAAAUAAACUCUUAAAAUUUUUAACAUGCCUCACUGUAUCUUUUAACAUCCCCAAAAGUUGAUGUGAGUAUCUUCUCUUCAUAGAUAAGGAAGGUGAAGUUCAAAGAAGCCAAAUGACUUCCACAAAGUCAUGCAGCUAACAACUGAUAGACCUAUAAUUCAAAUCAGGUCUGAUCCCCAAGCACAUUUUUUUUCUAUUACACAAUAUUGCCAGAGACCAAAUUUAUACAGUCUAGAUAACAGAUAUUUUCCAUGUACAGGAGCAGUCUCUGUCUCUAAGAGAUGUGGAACAGACAGCAGAAGAAUUCUAGUACUCAUGUAUCUUUGAUCAAAGAACAGUCUUUCUCUAAUUGGAAAGUUCAUCCCCUAUAUCUAAGCAUAUAAAUGACUGCCUCCAGAGAAUAUACAAGGAAGUAUGAAAGAGAAAGUACACACCUGUCCAGGUCAUCUGAAUCAGCCCUGGUGAUCAGUAAGUGAAAGUGUAAUCAAUUAUAUUUCCAGUUCUAGACACUAAAGUAGCAUGACUCCUUUCUUUUUUUUUUUUUUUCCUUCCCCUCCCCCAUGGGUUCCUGUUAAGUUUCUCAGGAUCCACAUAAGAGUGAAACCAUGUGACUCCUUUCUAUAAUAUGCACACGAUGCCACAUAUCUACGGUGAUCUCUUUUCAGCUCUCUGGAAUUGCCUUCAGUCUUAUUCUAGAGGCAUGGUUCCCAAACUUCAGCAUGCAGCAGAAUCAACUGGAGAGCUUCCUAAGCAGAAAAUAUGGGGCUCCACCCCCAGAGUUUCUGCUUGAGUCGGUCUAGAUUGGGUCCUGAGAAGCUGCAUUUGCAACAACUUCCCAGGUAAGACUGAUGAUUCUAGUUGGAGACCAUACUUUAAGGACUAUUAGUUUCUAAUUCAUUUAUCUUUAAUCCAGACCAAUGUUGGCCAUAACAUGAUACCAGGAAUGAGCAAUCUACUUAAAAAGCAAAGGGUUCAAUUCCUUGACUCUAAGGACCCCAGGAAGCUUUCAGUACUGAUUUGUAGAGCUUCUGCAUUUCAUACUGAGCUUCACAUUUUCCCUGAACACAGAAAGCACAUAUAUAGAUGACAAUUCAGAUCAAAGUUAAAAAAAAAAUAAUGCUUGUACCUUUGCAGCUUAUGUAUAGGUCCUCAAAACUCUAUUUUGUCAGGGUGCCUGGGUGGUUCAGACGGUUUACCAUCCUACUCUUGAUCUCAGCUCAGGGUCAUGAGUUCAAGCUCCAUGCUGGGUGUGAAGCCUACUUAAAAACAAAAACAAAACAAAACAAACAAACAAAACUCUAUUUUUUCCUACAAGGUUUAGAUUCCUUGGGUUAGCCCUGAUAAUCAAUAUAAUCUGGAAAGUUUCACCUUAACAAUAUUUUUGGACUUGUUCAUUUUUCUGUCAAUAAUCAGAUAGAAAUAAGGUUUUGCUCAUGUUUUGCAGAUGAUUUUUUUAAUAAUUUUCAUAGCUUCACUGUGAACAUUAGACUUUUAUAGUUAUCAGAGCUCAGCUAGGGAAAGCUAUGACUGUUUCAUUUUGACAGUUCCUUUGGAGCAAUUAUUUAAUGUGAGUAUUAUUUAAAUGUGAGAGUGGAAUGAAUAUAUCCUGGUGUGGUUUUUAAAAUUUAGUCUCAACAUCUUAUCUUCUAUCUACAUUUAAGAUAGCACAUUAUUCUUUACUUCUUGCCUUCCAUUUAGAGUUAGCAAGGAGUUUAGAUAUUGGGGGAAGUAAUUUAGGCUGAAGAGCAAAAGAUACACAUUUAUGUGCUAUCCUUGGCUCUGUUAUUCCCUUAAUCCCAUCUGAAGAAAGAAAAAUGUUGAUUUUAAGUUGAGGCAAAAUAUGACAUCUUUUGAACAGUACAGUUGACAAUUUAGGAAAAACCACACAGUCUUUAAGCCAUUAUUUCAAAACCUCUGGGUAUGUAUAAAGUUAGUUUCACUGGGUGCCAUUUGAGCAAAGAUCCACUGUUGAGAAAAAAAUUUAACUUAAAGAGUUAAUAAGUUAAUGGAGGAAAGCCACUGCAACCUUUUUCCUCAGAUCUGUAGGAAUUCAGGCUUUAUAUUUGUAAUGAAUUUCUGUCCACCCAUUCUCAGGAAUACUUAAUAGGCAAUGGAAGAAAUAUGAAGUGUCGACAAAGCAAUUAUCACUGUUCUGAAGGGGAGAUGGGGUGAGGUGAAAAUGCAUAGAGAAUAGUUAUUUGUUUACUUCAAAAUAUGGGGUAGUGUUCAGCUGAAGGGGGUUAUCCUGAGAAUUUCUGUAUGUUUUUCAUAUGCCAUUUCUCUCAAGAAUCGACAGGCAGUGGCGUUAUACUCAUUCUGGAAAUUGCCUCUAUGUUCAAAUAGCAUUCACUACAUGCAGCUUUUCUCAGAUCUAAAGGGCAAGGGGAAAACAGAUUAUUUGUAAAAUAAAAACAUAACACUGGCAUGGAUAUUUUUUUUUCCUCAGGGUGAGAGGGAAAAUGCCUGGAUCUUGUUUUCAAACAUUCCAGCCAUCAACUCCAGACAGCAUGGACAAACAUAAUUUUCAUUGUUGACAUAAUGAAGAUGAUGAUGCUUUUCAACCAUUUCCCAGAGCAUAAACUCAUUUUCAGUGUGAGCCCGGCUAACCAUAACGGAUGCUAGUGAUGUGGGAAAAACAAAUGCACAAAUGAAAAACAAUGAGUUAGAUAGUUCAUUCAUUGCUGUCAAUAGAAGCCAGAGUUCCCCCAAAUCUGCUUAGUAUCUGCCUUUGUAUAAUCUAAAGUGCAUUGCAGACCAUUUGCAUAUUGAGUAAAAUGUUAAAAUUAACAAUUGAAUAAAAUGUUAGGCAUAAGCAAGGCAGUUACAUUCUCACUAUCUCUCAGAAAGUUUUGGGCUUUUUUCUUCAUGUGUCUGCUUAU
rnacentral:lncRNA from 1 species